CUGAUCCGAAGUCAGGGUCCAGGAGCUUCUUCUAGGUCUCCCAUGCAGGUGCAGGGGCCCAAGGACUUGGGCCAUCUUCUACUGCUUUCCCAGGCCAUAGCAGAGAGCUGGAUUGGAAGUGGAGCAGCUGGGACUCAAACCGGCGCCCAUAUGCGACGCUGGCACUGCAGACCAGGGUUUUAACCUGCUGUGCCACAGUGCUCACCCCACAGACACUGCUUUCACAGGUGCAUUAGUAGGGAGCCAGACUGGAAGUAGAGCAGCUGGGACUCGAACUGAAACUCAAGUGGAAUGCUGGCGUCAAGUGGCAACUUAACCUGCUGCUCCACAGUGCCAGCCCCAACAUGGUUUCUUCCCAGUGAGUUGUUUGCAACAUUACAGGUCAGUCGCAUCAAGGGUCCCUGUGGUUCCCCAGAGCCAGCUUCUGGUCAUCUUAGAGGGCAGAGGUCUGGGGUACAGCUGGGAGGGGAGGGUGGGGUUGAUAAGAACACAAAGAGCCCCAGUGACCCCUGUCAUCUCCCAGCACCUCCUGGCCCCACCUUGUGUCACUCUCCCAAUGCCCCAAGGUGGGCCUUGUUAUCAUCCCCUCAGGAAACUGAAGCUCAAGGGUUAAGCAACUUGGCCCAAGGUCACUCAGCCUGCAGGGGACAGAGCCAGGAAUAUAACUGGGGCUGCCCAGGGCGCAAGGCGGGACUGGAAUUCUCCCAGUAGCAAAGGGGAGGGGCAUUCUAGCAGAAAGCACGAUUUGUGCAAAGGCGGGGUGGUGUGUGCAGGUGGCCACUGCCUCUGGGGCUGUAGACAGAAGGGGAAGAGAUGCGCCAAGGGCCGGGCCCAAGGUGCAAGAAACGUGGGUUCCAGGCCAAGGAUCUGGAAUGUGGUCCCUGGGUAGGGGGUCCCAGGGAGGCAUCGAGCCUGUGGGCUAAUGACAAAGGCUACUUGAGUGUCCAGGCUGAGCUUCCAGAGAUGCGUUCUCUGUGCAAUCCUCCUGCUCACACUGGGAGUUGGUCCAUUUUCGAGAUUAAGAAACAACCCCUGAAUGGUUAUGGGACCAGCCACACAGGGCUCAAUAACCAGCCCCAAGCUCAGCGCCGUAGCCAACAUCCAGCAGAGUGAAACAGACCAGGCACUCUUGGGUCCUGAUUUCCCCAGCCCCGCUCCUGCUCAGCCUUGCUGGAGAUAAAAAAGACCAAUUGGCCCAGGCUCCAAGCAUCUUGUGCACCCAAAACACGACAGUAAAUAACAAGGAUGCAGUAGGUACCUGGGCUCCCACCUUGGGCUAGCAGCACCGGGCACUCUCCUUAAUGAUCGUAUCCCAGGCUCAGGGUCCCCUCAGCCAGCAGCUGCCCCAGAUCAGUCUGCAGAGCUAGCAGGGCUCCAGCUGGAGAGACCCAAGGGGCUGCUGGCUAAGCCCACCCCCCACCUUGGCUGUGACCUUGGACAGGGUGAGGACACUCAGUCGUGGAGGCUUUUUUUUUUUUUUUCCAUGCCGGAAGUCUCGGGGAGCUUCUCAAGCUGCCACAGGAGAUCUGGGUUGACGUCACAGCUGCCCAGACAUACCCAGCUCAUCAGGGCCCUUCUGGGGUCAGCUGUAUGAGUCCCACCCGGCGCCCAUUAUGGAACGCUCACUGCUCUGGGCACUCAGUGAGUUUGGCAGAGCUGCUGGCCCGAGAGCUGCUGCUGCCCUGAGCCAUGACAGGUGCAGAGAUGGGGUUGGUGCAGGAGUCAGUGGUGCACACCACAAAGGGGACUUGAAGGAGGCCGGGAGCUGAGUGCCUAUCUGGGCAGGCAAGAGCAAGAGCAAAGGCCCUGAGUGGGCAGGUCUGCUUGCAAGGUGGCUGCUGUGCCUGGAGCCAGGCAGCCCAGCAUUGGGUGGAGACAGAAGGGGUCAGCCCUAGAACACCGUUCCUAUGAGCUGGAGUGGGAACUUGGUGCUGCCGUGAGUGUCUUGACCCUGAUCUUGAACCUGAACCCCUCCCUGCCCAGACCUCUCCCCAACUUCAAGCUUAGGGACCCACCCAUCACAGUUAAGGUCAGAACCACUGAUACCAAAACUAUGUGACUUGUAUAAGCAUGCAUUUUUACCUCCUUAAUCCUGAGCAUCUUCAGCCUCUCCUAGCCUCUGUCCCACCCAAAUAGCUGCCCUUCCCUUCCUGCUGCCUUGCAGGGGCCCCAGGAACUCAUGACCUGGAAGGAGAGGGAACAGGUGACCAGGGUCAUCCCCAUUGUCCCAGGGAAGUCACGGCACCAGGAAAGAGGGGACCCUGUCAAUAACCACCCCCUUGAAGUUUGGGCCCCCCAUGCUGAGCUGCUCACUGGGAAUCCCCAGGUUGGGGGAGACAGCCCUUGUCCCUUAGGGGAGGAGAAAAAACCCACGGCAAACUCAGAGGCACAUUUGGUGUGUGGCUGGGAUCCUUCAGGUGGGCACCGUGGAGCGGUCUGCACUGGCGGACCCUGUGCAAAUGGAUUAUCUUGUUUUCUCAGGCCUGGAAAAGCAUGGAUACUCGCUGUGUCUGCUGAGCGACUGCACUUCCGUUUCCUUGUGUGUUAAAUGGGCUGAUUAACAAUGACAUCGCAGACUGGGGGCUCCCACCCGCCCCACCCUCUCAGCCCCGGGCCCUCCCCUCAGCCACCCUCGCACAGCAGAGAACAGCAUGGGAAGUGAGGCCUUCUUUGUCACUCUGACACAGGACUUCCUCCUGCCAGGGCCUGCCUGCCCGCUGCCCCCGGUGAGCUCCCAGGCCCACUGAGGCCAUGGGAGUGGCAAUGUUUGCACCACUUGUGUGCCCACCACGGCCCGGUGCCGACAGCUGCGUGGCUGGGAUUCAAACGUUGGAGGGGUCUGAACCCCAGAGCCAAGAUCUCUUCCCAUUACCCCAGGCAAUGGUUGGUGCAAAGUCUCAAGCAGCCCAGGUGAGCAAGGAAUGGAGUGGGAGUGGCCAUGGGCAUCCUGGAGUGGCCUCCACUGUGUCCCAGUCACUGCGUGAUUGCCAGGGUCACCUAGGAGAAGCAGUGGGCCAGGUCUGUUUUCCUCUGUUGUGUGUCUGUAGUGUGUGUGUGUGUGUGUGUGUUCUCACACUUGCAUCCUGUAGUGUGUGUGUCUGUGUGUUUGUGUUCACAGUUGCAUGCACCUUCAAGAGCACAGUUUUCCAGUCCCACACAGGCCUCGCCUAGUCUCUGGGGUGGCCUUGGAGACAGGCAGGCUCCAGGGGUGCACCUGUCUGGGGCUGGCUUUCUCAGAGCCCUGCGUUGGCUGCCCAUUGCACCUCAGCUAGCAGCUCCUUUUGAGCCCUGCCCUGCCCUGCCCUGCCCGGCCCAGGGCACCUUGGGAGGGUGUUCGGACAGUGGGAAGGGCAGGUUGGCAGGGAGGGCGCCAAUGUCUCUUCCAAUCUGGGCGCUCUUUCCACCCCUCCACCCCCACACCUGCCUGUGCCAGCAGGUUCACAGCCAUCCCCACAGCCAAAAGAGCCUUAAGUUAGGGGCAUGCUGGGGAACCACAGGGCAAGACCAGCCAUUGCCACACCGCUCAGGAGGGCAAGGGAGAACUCAGUGAGUGGCGGUGGCAGUGCCCGGGGUUACUGGGGAGACUGUGGGGUUUAGGUCAAAGAUCUGCAUAUACUAAGACCCUGUCAGUUCCACAAGGAAAUGUGGGCCAAUCGGUUGUUCAUUUUGAAAUGGGAAAGCUUUUUCUGAGCAAGAGAGAAAACCCAGAAGUCAUAAAGGAAAAAACGGAUACACAUGAUUACUUAACAACUUGCAGAAAAAUCUCAGUGUGGAAAACUACCAUACACAAGGUUUUUCCAGGGCCGGUACUGUAGCAUAGUGGGUAAAGCCACCGCCUGCACUGCCGGCAUUCCCAUAUGGGCGCUGGUUCAAGUCUUGGCUGCUCCACUUCCGAUCCAGCUCUCUGCUAUGGCCUGGGAAAGCAGUGGAAGAUGGCCCAAGUCCUUGGGCCUCUGCACCCGCGUGGGAGACCUGGAAGAAACUCCUGGCUCCUGGCUUCGGAUUGGUGCAGCUCUGGCCAUUGCAGCCAUCUGGGGAGUAAAUCAGCAGAUAGAAGACCUCUCUCUCUCUCUCUCUCUCUCUCUCUCUGCCUCUGCCUCUCUGUAACUCUUUCAAAUAAAUACAUCUUAAAAAAAAAAAAAAAAAAGAAAAGAAAAGAAAGCUGUUUCCAGGGUGGGCAUUUGGACGAGCAGGUAAGUCGCCGGAGUCCCCUCUCAGAGAACCUGGGUUCAGUUCCUGCCUCUGACUUCUGGCUGAUGCAUCUUUCCACUAAUGCAGAAGCUGCAGGGAUAGCUCACAUGUGUGGCUGUGUUCCUGUCCCCACAAGGAGAGCCAGAUUGAGUUCCCAGCUCCUGGUCUCAGCCCUGCAGGUUCCCCGACUGUGGCUAGCAUUGGGGGAGAGAUGGAUGGGAGAGCUCUCUCUUUCUCUGCCUCUCCAAUAAAUAAAGUUUAAAACACUUUUCCAAUAAUGGAGAAGACAAAUGAUGAAAGAAUUUUGCCUUAAUUCACACAGAAACUCAUUUUAAUGAAGAGGAGAAAAAAGUCGAGUAGUUGCAACCGCUACUACUUAAUGAUCAUUGUGAUGUGCUGGAUAAGUAAGCACACAGUAAGCAACCUGAUAAGGCAGAGUUAGACAGUAAGAGAGAGAGACAUCUUCCUUCCGUUGGUUCACCCCCCAAAUGGCCACCACAGCCGGAGCUACGCCGAUCCGAAGCCAGGAGCCAGGUGCCUCUUCCUGGUCUCCCAUGCGGGUCCAGGGUCCAAGCACUUGGGCCAUCCUCCACUGCCUUCCUGGGCCACAGCAGAGAGCUGGACUGGAAGAGGAACAACCAGGACUAGAACCUGGUGCCCAUAUGGGAUGCUGGCACCGCAGGCAGAGAAUUAACCAAGAGAUGACCAAGAGGAGGAGGAGGGAGAAACCUGCCUGUUUCCAUGAGAUGUGACGACCCAGUGGACAGGGCCACGCCCACGCUGGACCUUGGCAGGACCCCAGGCAGUUCUCAUACCCUGUGUCUGCAUUUUAUUUAUUUGCUUAUUUAUCUGUUUAUUAGAGAGGCAGCGAGACAGGCAGAGAUAGAGAUCGUCGUUCACUUCCCAAACACGACAAGCCAGGGCUGGGCCAGGCUGAAGCUGGCAGCUCCACCCUGGUUUCCUCGUGGAUGAACCUUCACCUGCUGCCUCCCAAGGUGCACUUCGGCAGGAAGCUUAGGGGUCAGGUACGGAACGCAGGUGCUCCAGUGCAGGAAACAAGCCUCUUACCUGCUAAGCCGAAUGUCUGCUCUCAUGUUUCUCAAUGUUGAAAGGCAAUCAAGCUGACAAAAUGUUACAUAAAGUGCUUUCUAUCUGCCUACUUGGCUGAGUGACAAAUAUAUAUGUAAUUAUUGUGCUUUUAUUCAAUAAAGCUUAUUUUUCUUUUGUCAUAGCAAAGUCACCAAUUAUACAUUUAUAAUAAAGAUUAUAAUAAAGAUCUUAAUGUAAAUUAUAGUCAUGCCAAAUUAGACACUCUUUUUUAAAAAACAUUUAUUUUUAUAUACUUGAAAAGCAGAGUUACAGAGAGAGGGAAGGACAGAGAGAGAGAGAGAGAGAGAGAGAGAGAGGUCCAUCCACUGGUUCACUCCCCAAAUGGCUGCAAUGGCUGGAGCUGGGCUGAUCUGAAGUCAGGAGCUUUUUCCAGGUCUCCCAUGUGGGUACAGGGACCCAAGGACUUAGGCCAUCUUUUUGCUGCUUCCCCAGGCACAUUAGCAGGGAGCUGGAUUGGAAGUGGAGCAGCUAGGACUCAAACUGGCGUCCAUAUGGGAUGCCGGCGCUGCAGGCGGCAGCUUUACCCAUACACAACAGCACUGAACCUAGAAAACCUCUCUUGAGUUAUCAUGGCACUUAGCUUUUUAUUAAUUUCAAUUUGGAGAAGCUUCAACUCACCAAGAAUUGAUAUAAUUCUUGAAGCAAUUCCUGAGUGGAGAACCAGUCUGUAUGUAUCACGUACAAAUAUGACAUAGGAUAAAUUGUUGCUGUUCCCCCAAAAUUACAAGAAUAUUUUUAUUUCCUUGCGUAAACUGCCACCCCUUACAUCCUGGAAAUUUCUUAAAGUGGUAUUAAGAUCUACAGACCGACAGCUCUCAAGCAUUUGGUUCAAGUCCUGGCUGCUCCACUUCUGAUCCAGCUCCCUGCUAAUGCACCUGUGAGAGCAGAAGAUGGCCCAAGUCCUUGGGCCCCUGCACCCAUGUGGGAGACCCAGAAGAAGCUCCUGGCUCCUGGCUUCGGCCUGGCCCAGGCCUGGCCAUUGAGACCACUGGGGGAGUGAACCAGCAGAUAGAAAUAUCUCCUUUCUCUCUCCAUCUCUCCUUUCUCUCUCUCUGCUUUUCAACUAAAUAAAUCUCUUUAAAAGAAGAAAGAAAGACUCAAUUUUAUUAAAAAAAAUUUUUUUAAAAAUUUAUUUGACAGGUAGAGUUACAGAUGGUGAGAGAGUGAGAGAGACAGAGACAGAGAGAAAGGUCUUCCUUUUCUGUUGGUUCACCCCCCAAAUGGCUGCUACGGCUGGUGCUGCACAGAUCUGAAGCCAGGAGCCAGGUGCUUCCUCCUGGUCUCCCAUGGGGUGCAGGACCCAAGGACUUGGGCCAUCCUCCACUGCACUCCCGGGCCACAGCAGAGAGCUGGACUGGAAGAGGAGCAACCGGGACAGAACCGGCGCCCAUAUGGGAUGUCGGCACCACAGUCAGAGGAUUAACCAAGUGAGCCACAGUGCCGGCCUCUCAAUUUCAUUCUUAACAGUUACUGAGGACCCCCGAAGAGCUUGUGUUAAUGUAAACUCUAACUGUGAGUAUUUUUUCAAUAGAUUUAUUUAUUUUACUCGAAAGGCAGAGUUACAGAGGCAG